CUUGGUCAUUUAGAGGAAGUAAAAGUCGUAACAAGGUUUUCGUAGGUGAACCUGCGGAAGGAUCAUUAAUGAAUUCGGGCGCUCGACUCUGAAAUAUUGAGAUCGGCCCCAUUUCUUAAUCCACUUCACACUUGUGCACAUUUUUCCUACUUUCCUUCGGGAGAGUUUGAAAAGCUCUUGUGAUUUUAAUCAAGUCCAGGAUGUGAAUCCAAUUUGAAUAAGUUGUAAAACAACUACAAACGGUGGAUCUCUUGGCUCUCGUAUCGAUGAAGAACGCAGCGAAACGCGAAAUGUAAUGUGAAUUGCAGAAUUCAGUGAAUCAUCGAAUCUUUGAACGCAUCUUGCACUCUCGAAUCACUAUCGAGAGUAUGCCUGUUUGAGUGUCGCGAAACUCUCAACCCCGCCUCAUGCUUUAUUGCGUGUGGGUAGCUUGGGCUUGGAUCAUGAUCUUUGCAGUAAUGCGCUAGCAGAACUGCUGGAUUGAAAUACAACAAGCUGAAUCUAUAUACUUGCGGCUUGACCUGUCGUUGUAAGCACACAAAUGCAUUCGAUGGGGACGCGAGAAAAUGGAAUGAGCUUUCCAAAUGUGUUACACUUUGCAGCUUCUAUUAACUUAGAGCUCUUAGUGCAUUCUGACCUCAAAUCAGGUAGGAUUACCCGCUGAACUUAAGCAUAUCAAUAAGCGGAGGA
rnacentral:rRNA from 1 species